rnacentral:rRNA from 1 species
CCUACGGGAGGCAGCAGUAAGGAAUAUUGGUCAAUGGACGCAAGUCUGAACCAGCCAUGCCGCGUGGAGGAUGAAGGUCCUCUGGAUUGUAAACUUCUUUUAUCUGGGACGAAAAAAGGGUUUUCUAACUCGUCUGACGGUACCAGAUGAAUAAGCACCGGCUAACUCCGUGCCAGCAGCCGCGGUAAUACGGAGGGUGCAAGCGUUAUCCGGAUUCACUGGGUUUAAAGGGUGCGUAGGCGGGCAAUUAAGUCCGUGGUGAAAUACCUGAGCUUAACUUGGGAACUGCCAUGGAUACUAUUUGUCUUGAAUGUCGUGGAGGUUAGCGGAAUAUGUCAUGUAGCGGUGAAAUGCUUAGAUAUGACAUAGAACACCUAUUGCGAAGGCAGCUAACUACGCGAAUAUUGACGCUGAGGCACGAAAGCGUGGGGAUCAAACAGGAUUAGAUACCCUGGUAGUCCACGCCCUAAACGAUGAUUACUCGACAUUGGCGAUACACAGUCAGUGUCUGAGCGAAAGCAUUAAGUAAUCCACCUGGGAAGUACGACCGCAAGGUUGAAACGUCAAAUGAAAUUGAGG